GUCGAGCGGUAACAGGGGGUGCUUGCACCCCGCUGACGAGCGGCGGACGGGUGAGUAAUGCUUAGGAAUCUGCCCAGUAGUGGGGGACAACAGUCGGAAACGGCUGCUAAUACCGCAUACGCCCUACGGGGGAAAGCAGGGGAUCUUCGGACCUUGCGCUAUUGGAUGAGCCUAAGUCGGAUUAGCUAGUUGGUGGGGUAAAGGCCUACCAAGGCGACGAUCCGUAGCUGGUCUGAGAGGAUGAUCAGCCACAUCGGGACUGAGACACGGCCCGAACUCCUACGGGAGGCAGCAGUGGGGAAUAUUGGACAAUGGGGGCAACCCUGAUCCAGCCAUGCCGCGUGUGUGAAGAAGGCUUUCGGGUUGUAAAGCACUUUCAGCGAGGAGGAAGGCCUUAAAGUUAAUACCUUUAAGGAUUGACGUUACUCGCAGAAGAAGCACCGGCUAACUCCGUGCCAGCAGCCGCGGUAAUACGUAGGGUGCAAGCGUUAAUCGGAAUUACUGGGCGUAAAGCGCGCGUAGGUGGUUUGGUAAGCGAGAUGUGAAAGCCCCGGGCUUAACCUGGGAACGGCAUUUCGAACUGUCAGACUAGAGUGUGGUAGAGGGUAGUGGAAUUUCCUGUGUAGCGGUGAAAUGCGUAGAUAUAGGAAGGAACACCAGUGGCGAAGGCGGCUACCUGGACCAACACUGACACUGAGGUGCGAAAGCGUGGGGAGCAAACAGGAUUAGAUACCCUGGUAGUCCACGCCGUAAACGAUGUCAACUAGCCGUUGGGACUCUUGAAGUCUUAGUGGCGCAGCUAACGCACUAAGUUGACCGCCUGGGGAGUACGGCCGCAAGGUUAAAACUCAAAUGAAUUGACGGGGGCCCGCACAAGCGGUGGGGCAUGUGGUUUAAUUCGACGCAACGCGAAGAACCUUACCUGGCCUUGACAUCCAGAGAACUUUCCAGAGAUGGAUUGGUGCUUCGGGACUCUGAGACAGGUGCUGCAUGACGUCGUCAGCUCGUGUCGUGAGAUGUGGGUAGUCCCGUACGAGCGCACCCCUAUCAUGGUGCUAGCAGUAAUGCUGAAAACUCAGGAGACUGCGGUGACAACCGAGAGUUGAUGACGUCAGUCAUCAUGCCUUACGGCAGGCUACACGUGCUACAUGCCGCUACAAGCACCCACUCCGAGAGAGACAAUCCUUUAUACGCGCUAUUCGGAUCGGGAAGUGGACCUUCAUCCCUGGAAUCGAAAACUCAUAGUAUAUUCCGGCCAUUG
rnacentral:rRNA from 1 species